CUCCCAUCUCCUCCUGUACCAACCAUCAGCCGCCGCCACUCCACCUAUCCUCCUCCCGCCGCUCCAUGUCGGCGCCGGCGGCGCUGAACCACCCCGCGCCGGGCCCCUCCCCAUCUAUCCCGCGCUAGAUCCCUCCCUGUCAAGGCCACGCUAUGCCCCUCCCCAUUCAGAUCGCCCCCUCGACCUAUGGCACCCCACUCCUACCCCCGAGCUGAGGCGGCAGCGGUGGCGGCGAGACCGACUGCCGGAUUUGGAAGUCCCGUAGGUUGCCGGUGGUGUGAACGGAUCCAUCUCCAUCCGGCGGUGAGCCUAGGUGAGGACUUGAGGUACAGGAGGAGGCAACACAGCCACAGAUCCACAGUACAUGGGCGGCCCUUGUGGCUGGGUCUAAGUACGUCAGCCGCGCCACCGUGGGUCCCCUCGUCAUCACGGCCGUCUUCUCCAUCUGUGAUGCGCGUCUCCUCAAGGCAAUGUUGUGAAGGCAUUUUUUGUUGUUGUUGAAAACAAGGUAUUACUAACUCACAAGUUCCAUCGAUUGUGUGUCUCCUCAAGACAAUGUUCAUAAAGCCGCUGCUUCCCCCAGCUUCCGCCUUGCCGCUGCGUGGAGCCGCCUCGCCGCUGACACCGCCGCCCGUCGCCACUUGCUAGCAAGGUGCACACACGCACCCAACAUCCAUCCAUCCCCAGGGGAGACCAGCAUGUGAAUCACCACGACCAUUUCUCUUGGCCAGCACAAGCAGUGCCAUCGGCGGUCAAGACAAGCAUCCAACAACUGAAGAAAGUCCUGAAUCUGGUUAAGAGUUUUCUUAUUGGUCUAUCUCAUGGACACCCAGAUUGGUAUGCAGUUUUCUCAACACCCAGAUUUGUGGAGCUUGAGGUUGGACAUUUAGGAUGGGACUGCAGAUCUUUGGAUGUUAUUCUUCAGGGUAUGAUUGCAUAGCGAGCUACUUGGUGCUGCUAAUCACAGUCUGCACGACAUGAUACAUAGUUUCCAUCAGGAGGGCCGAUGGCAAGGAGAUGAAUAAUAACUUCAAUAGUUUAAAUGUUUAGUUUGUUUAAGCUGGAUUGUAUUGUUUCCUAACUUUGCUAAGUGAUAUUUUGUCAAUCUAUGUUGUAAAAUUAUCAUUUCACGGAGGACUUUGUAAACUGCUAUGUUGUAGAUACCUGCGGAUGUUUCCAUAUUGUUUCAUAUGUGCACGUAUGAAUUCGGAAA